rnacentral:tRNA from 1 species
GCAGUAUAUGCGUUGAUGGCGGCGUGCCGGUCUUCCAAAUCGGAGGAGAGUGUUCGAAUCACUCAUGCUGCA